GAAGUGGUGGAGCAUGUGGUUAAUUCGAAGAUACACGAAGAACCUUACCUGGCCUUGACAUGGUAGGAACCCUUAAGAGAUUAGGGGUGCUAGCUUGCUAGAACCUACACACAGGUGCUGCACGGCUGUCGUCAGCUCGUGUCGUGAGAUGUUGGGUUAAGUCCCGCAACGAGCGCAACCCUCGUCCUUAGUUGCUAACAGUUCGGCUGAGCACUCUAGGGAGACUGCCUUCGCAAGGAGGAGGAAGGUGAGGACGACGUCAAGUCAUCAUGGCCCUUACGGCCAGGGCUACACACGUGCUGCAAUGGGGCGUACAGAGAGCUGCGAUACCGCGAGGUGGAGCCAAUCUCUUAAAGCGUCUCCCAGUUCGGAUUGUUCUCUGCAACUCGAGAACAUGAAGCUGGAAUCACUAGUAAUCGCAGAUCAGCUAUGCUGCGGUGAAUACGUUCCCGGGUCUU
rnacentral:rRNA from 1 species